rnacentral:rRNA from 1 species
GAUGAACGCUAGCGGCAGGCUUAACACAUGCAAGUCGAGGGGCAGCGAGAUCAGUGCUUGCACUGAUUGUCGGCGACCGGCGCACGGGUGCGUAACGCGUAUGCAACCUACCCAUUACAGGGGGAUAACACUGAGAAAUCGGUACUAAUACCCCAUAACAUCCAGGGAGGCAUCUUCUUGGGUUGAAAACUCCGGUGGUAAUGGAUGGGCAUGCGUUGUAUUAGUUAGUUGGUGGGGUAACGGCUCACCAAGACGACGAUACAUAGGGGGACUGAGAGGUUAACCCCCCACAUUGGUACUGAGACACGGACCAAACUCCUACGGGAGGCAGCAGUGAGGAAUAUUGGUCAAUGGACGCAAGUCUGAACCAGCCAUGCCGCGUGCAGGAAGACGGCUCUAUGAGUUGUAAACUGCUUUUGUACGAGGGUAAACGCAGAUACGCGUAUCUGUCUGAAAGUAUCGUACGAAUAAGGAUCGGCUAACUCCGUGCCAGCAGCCGCGGUAAUACGGAGGAUUCAAGCGUUAUCCGGAUUUAUUGGGUUUAAAGGGUGCGUAGGCGGUCGGAUAAGUUAGAGGUGAAAUCCCGGGGCUCAACUUCGGAAUUGCCUCUGAUACUGUUCGGCUAGAGAGUAGUUGCGGUAGGCGGAAUGUAUGGUGUAGCGGUGAAAUGCUUAGAGAUCAUACAGAACACCGAUUGCGAAGGCAGCUUACCAAGCUACUUCUGACGUUGAGGCACGAAAGCGUGGGGAGCAAACAGGAUUAGAUACCCUGGUAGUCCACGCAGUAAACGAUGAUAACUCGUUGUCGGCGAUACAGUGUCGGUGACUAAGCGAAAGCGAUAAGUUAUCCACCUGGGGAGUACGUUCGCAAGAAUGAAACUCAAAGGAAUUGACGGGGGCCCGCACAAGCGGAGGAACAUGUGGUUUAAUUCGAUGAUACGCGAGGAACCUUACCCGGGCUUGAAAGUUAGUGACGGAUCUUGAAAGAGGUCUUCCCUUCGGGGCACGAAACUAGGUGCUGCAUGGUUGUCGUCAGCUCGUGCCGUGAGGUGUCGGGUUAAGUCCCAUAACGAGCGCAACCCCUACCGUUAGUUGCCAGCAGGUCAAGCUGGGCACUCUGACGGGACUGCCGGUGUAAGCCGAGAGGAAGGUGGGGAUGACGUCAAAUCAGCACGGCCCUUACGUCCGGGGCUACACACGUGUUACAAUGGCAGGUACAGAGGGCAGCUACCCAGCGAUGGGAUGCGAAUCUCGAAAGCCUGUCUCAGUUCGGAUUGGAGGCUGAAACCCGCCUCCAUGAAGUUGGAUUCGCUAGUAAUCGCGCAUCAGCCAUGGCGCGGUGAAUACGUUCCCGGGCCUUGUACACACCGCCCGUCAAGCCAUGGAAGCUGGGGGUGCCUGAAGUUCGUGACCGGAAGGAGCGACCUAGGGCAAAACCGGUGACUGGGGCUAAGUCGUAACAAGGUAGCCGUACCGGAAGGUGCGGCUGGAACACCUCCUUUCUGGAGCCUUGUUUCAAAGGUAGUUAGCUGCUCACUUCAAAGGAACGUCACAACAGCACCGCUUCAGGCGUAGGUUCGAUCCGAGUGCUGUUCUCGGCAAACGCAAGUUUGCGCGUUCUUUGACAUGAUUAAGGUUAUGAGAUAAAGUCUUCAUACAUUUCAAUAGGGUGUAUGAAGAGUUGUAAGAAAGUAAAUAAGAGCGUAUGGGGGAUGCCUGGGCUCUUGGAGGCGACGAAGGACGUGGUAAGCUGCGAUAAGCCUCGGGGAUUCGCAAACUGGAAUCGAUCCGAGGAUUUCCGAAUGGGACAACCCGGCAGGUUGAUGACCUGUCACACAGUAAUGUGAGCCAACCCUCUGAACUGAAACAUCUUAGUAGGAGGAGGAAAAGAAAGAAACAUCGAUUUCCUGAGUAGCGGCGAGCGAAAGGGAAGUAGCCUAAACCGGUUUCGUUACGGCGUGACCGGGGUUGUAGGACUGCGUUAUUCGAGUGACUGCGAACUGGAACGUUCUGGAAAGUUCGGCCAUAGAGGGUGAAAGCCCCGUAUAGGUAAGUUCGUCAUAAGAUAGCAGUAUCCUGAGUAGGGCGGGACACGAGGAAUCCUGUCUGAAUCUGCCAGGACCACCUGGUAAGGCUAAAUACUCCCAAGAGACCGAUAGUGAACC